rnacentral:rRNA from 1 species
GACGAACGCUGGCGGCGUGCUUAACGCAUGCAAGUCGAACGGUAAGGCCCCUUCGGGGGUACACGAGUGGCGAACGGGUGAGUAACACGUGAGCAACCUGCCCUUGACUCUGGAAUAACAGUUGGAAACAGCUGCUAAUACUGGAUAUUCAUCGUCUCCUUCCUGGGGGGUGGUGGAAAGCUCCGGCGGUCAGGGAUGGGCUCGCGGCCUAUCAGCUUGUUGGUGAGGUAAUGGCUCACCAAGGCUUCGACGGGUAGCCGGCCUGAGAGGGCGACCGGCCACACUGGGACUGAGAUACGGCCCAGACUCCUACGGGAGGCAGCAGUGGGGAAUAUUGCACAAUGGGCGCAAGCCUGAUGCAGCAACGCCGCGUGCGGGAUGACGGCCUUCGGGUUGUAAACCGCUUUCAGUAGGGACGAAGGGUGACUGACGGUACCUACAGAAGAAGGACCGGCUAACUACGUG